AAAAAGGCCCUUCUUAGGGCCCCCAAUAUAUGACUGGGGUUCUUAG
rfam:Picea glauca, whole genome shotgun sequence.